rnacentral:rRNA from 1 species
GUGGGGAAUAUUGCGCAAUGGGCGAAAGCCUGACGCAGCAACGCCGUGUGGGUGAUGACGGUCUUCGGAUUGUAAAGCACUUUAAGUUGGGAGGAAGGGCAGUAAGCUAAUACCUUGCUGUUUUGACGUUACCGACAGAAUAAGCACCGGCUAACUUCGUGCCAGCAGCCGCGGUAAUACGAAGGGUGCAAGCGUUAAUCGGAAUUACUGGGCGUAAAGCGCGCGUAGGUGGUUUUGUAAGUUGGAGGUGAAAUCCCCGGGCUCAACCUGGGAACUGCCUCCAAAACUGCAUGACUAGAGUACGGUAGAGGGUAGUGGAAUUUCCUGUGUAGCGGUGAAAUGCGUAGAUAUAGGAAGGAACACCAGUGGCGAAGGCGACUACCUGGACUGAUACUGACACUGAGGUGCGAAAGCGUGGGGAGCAAACAGGAUUAGAAACCCUGGUAGUCC